rnacentral:rRNA from 1 species
CGCUGGCGGCAGGCCUAACACAUGCAAGUCGAGCGGCAGCACGGGUACUUGUACCUGGUGGCGAGCGGCGGACGGGUGAGUAAUGCCUAGGAAUCUGCCUGGUAGUGGGGGAUAACGUUCGGAAACGAACGCUAAUACCGCAUACGUCCUACGGGAGAAAGCAGGGGACCUUCGGGCCUUGCGCUAUCAGAUGAGCCUAGGUCGGAUUAGCUAGUUGGUGAGGUAAUGGCUCACCAAGGCGACGAUCCGUAACUGGUCUGAGAGGAUGAUCAGUCACACUGGAACUGAGACACGGUCCAGACUCCUACGGGAGGCAGCAGUGGGGAAUAUUGGACAAUGGGCGAAAGCCUGAUCCAGCCAUGCCGCGUGUGUGAAGAAGGUCUUCGGAUUGUAAAGCACUUUAAGUUGGGAGGAAGGGCAGUUACCUAAUACGUAAUUGUUUUGACGUUACCGACAGAAUAAGCACCGGCUAACUCUGUGCCAGCAGCCGCGGUAAUACAGAGGGUGCAAGCGUUAAUCGGAAUUACUGGGCGUAAAGCGCGCGUAGGUGGUUCGUUAAGUUGGAUGUGAAAUCCCCGGGCUCAACCUGGGAACUGCAUUCAAAACUGUCGAGCUAGAGUAUGGUAGAGGGUGGUGGAAUUUCCUGUGUAGCGGUGAAAUGCGUAGAUAUAGGAAGGAACACCAGUGGCGAAGGCGACCACCUGGACUGAUACUGACA